AGUGAACGCUGGCGGUAGGCCUAACACAUGCAAGUCGAACGGCAGCACAGUAAGAGCUUGCUCUUACGGGUGGCGAGUGGGGGACGGGUGAGGAAAACAUCGGAACCUACUUUUUGGGGGGGGUUAAGGAAGGGAAACUUACGCUAAUACCGCAUCUCCCCUCCGGUUGAAGGCGUGGGAACUUCGGACCUUGCGCGAUUGAAUGAGCGGAUGUCGGAUUAGCUAGUUGGCGGGGUAAAGGCCCACCAAGGCGACGAUCCGUAGCUGGUCUGAGAGGAUGAUCAGCCACACUGGAACUGAGACACGGUCCAGACUCCUACGGGAGGCAGCAGUGGGGAAUAGUGGACAAUGGGCGCAAGCCUGAUCCAGCCAUACCGCGUGGGUGAAGAAGGCCUUCGGGUUGUAAAGCCCUUUUGUUGGGAAAGAAAAGCAGCAGGUUAAUACCCCGCUGUUCUGACGGUACCCAAAGAAUAAGCACCGGCUAACUUCGUG
rnacentral:rRNA from 1 species